GACGAACGCUGGCGGCGUGCUUAACACAUGCAAGUCGAACGGAGCCUAUCGAAUGAAGAUUUCGGUCAGAAUUUGAGAAAGCUUAGUGGCGGACGGGUGAGUAACGCGUGAGGAACCUGCCUUUCAGAGGGGGACAACAGUUGGAAACGACUGCUAAUACCGCAUAAUGCAGCAGUAUCGCAUGGUACAGUUGCCAAAGAUUUAUCGCUGAAAGAUGGCCUCGCGUCUGAUUAGAUAGUUGGUGGGGUAACGGCCUACCAAGUCGACGAUCAGUAGCCGGUCUGAGAGGAUGAACGGCCACAUUGGGACUGAGAUACGGCCCAGACCUCCGUACGGGAGGCGAGCAGGUGGGGAAUAGUUGGGC
rnacentral:rRNA from 1 species